rnacentral:rRNA from 1 species
CCUACGGGAGGCAGCAGUGGGGAAUUUUGGACAAUGGGCGAAAGCCUGAUCCAGCAAUGCCGCGUGCAGGAAGAAGGCCUUCGGGUUGUAAACUGCUUUUGUACGGAACGAAAAGGUCUGCCCUAAUACGGCGGGCCCAUGACGGUACCGUAAGAAUAAGCACCGGCUAACUACGUGCCAGCAGCCGCGGUAAUACGUAGGGUGCGAGCGUUAAUCGGAAUUACUGGGCGUAAAGCGUGCGCAGGCGGUGAUGUAAGACAGUUGUGAAAUCCCCGGGCUCAACCUGGGAAUUGCAUCUGUGACUGCAUCGCUAGAGUACGGUAGAGGGGGAUGGAAUUCCGCGUGUAGCAGUGAAAUGCGUAGAUAUGCGGAGGAACACCGAUGGCGAAGGCAAUCCCCUGGACCUGUACUGACGCUCAUGCACGAAAGCGUGGGGAGCAAACAGGAUUAGAUACCCUGGUAGUCCACGCCCUAAACGAUGUCAACUGGUUGUUGGGUGCAUUAGUACUCAGUAACGAAGCUAACGCGUGAAGUUGACCGCCUGGGGAGUACGGCUGCAAGGUUGAAACUCAAAGGAAUUGACGG